rnacentral:rRNA from 1 species
GACGAACCGUGCGAACGUUGUUCGGAAUCACUGGGCUUAAAGGGCGCGUAGGCGGGUUCGCAAGUCUGUGGUGAAAGCCUCCAGCUUAACUGGAGAAGUGCCAUGGAUACUGCGCAUCUUGAGGAGGGUAGGGGCGUCUGGAACGGUCGGUGGAGCGGUGAAAUGCGUUGAUAUCGACCGGAACUCCGGUGGCGAAGGCGAGGCGCUGGACCCUUUCUGACGCUGAGGCGCGAAAGCCAGGGGAGCAAACAGG